AAUCCACCCGUUUUGAGUACGUUCGCAAGAAUGAAACUCAAAGGAAUUGACGGGGGCCCGCACAAGCGGAGGAACAUGUGGUUUAAUUCGAUGAUACGCGAGGAACCUUACCUGGACUUAAAUGUAUAUUGACCGGUUUAGAAAUAGAUCUUUCCUUCGGGACAAUUUACAAGGUGCUGCAUGGUUGUCGUCAGCUCGUGCCGUGAGGUGUCGGGUUAAGUCCCAUAACGAGCGCAACCCCUAUCGUUAGUUGCUAGCAGGUAAUGCUGAGGACUCUAGCGAGACUGCCACCGUAAGGUGAGAGGAAGGUGGGGAUGACGUCAAAUCAGCACGGCCCUUACGUCCAGGGCUACACACGUGUUACAAUGGCCAGUACAAAGGGCAGCUACCAGGUGACUGGAUGCUAAUCUCUAAAGCUGGUCUCAGUUCGGAUCGGAGUCUGCAACUCGACUCCGUGAAGUUGGAUUCGCUAGUAAUCGUAGAUCAGCAACGCUACGGUGAAUACGUUCCCGGGCCUUGUACACACCGCCCGUCUAGCCAUGUAAGCCGAGGGGACCUGAAGUUCGUAACCGCAAGGAGCGAC
rnacentral:rRNA from 1 species